rnacentral:lncRNA from 10 species
GGGGCAUUGAAGUAACGUUUGCGGUUUUUACUGCGGUCCGAGGUGUGCUCUCACCAUUGUUCCAUCUGCGACUGAGCACCAUUUCUGCAAAAAGUAAAGAUGGCCUUGCUGAGAGAUCUUUUGUCUCUGUGCUGACUUUUCUUCACGGCACUGAUUAUCUUUUUCUAACAAUUUUGGUGGCAAUUGUAUGGGGAUAUACUUUCCUCCAGGGGCGUCUCUAGUCCUCUCUCACGAGGGGGCACUCUGCUGCCUCUUGCAGUGGCCUCAGGGGUAAGGGACCGAGACCCAUCCGGUGUGACCAAUAAACCCGGACUCUCAGCAAUGUGGAAAGAAACUGGCCAACAACCUGGGGUAAAGGAUCCUCACAUACCGAGGUGACGACUCUGUGCACAGACCAACGAAGGAGAAGCCACGGGAGCCGGUGUUAUGUCGUACCAUACAUCCAGGAGUUCAUCAAAACAACUAAGCCAAGACAUGCUAAGAAAGUUUGAAGAGGAAAACUAUACAGUAAAAGAGGAGGGAAUUGUAGGAAGUAAAAAGUUUCUGCUUCAAAGUUCCCCUUCUUGUUAAAGAAUAAAUCAUAAGUCUUAGAAAUAAUAGAUUCUUUUAAAGACUAAUUUUCUUCAAGCCUCCUUGCUUUGUGCUAAUAGCUCUUUGUUAAGCCCUAUCCUAUGUAACUGUUGGACAUGCUCACAGACACAUUCCAGCUCACAGCCUAUGCCCCUUCCUUAAUUGGAAAUGUUAUUGCUUCCUGAAACCUUUUGUAAGCAACUUCUUUGUUCUUCCUUGCACUUACCUAUUUAGGAAAGUUUCAAAUCGGGUAUCAGUUUAAGAUAGUGAGGUCCCACUCCAGCCAAUGGAUGCAGGACACAGCAGUAAGGACAACCCAAAUGCGUAAGGGAUAAAUACAUCUGCUUUUCCUUUGUUCAGGUGUGCUCUCACCAUUGUUCCAUCUGCAGUUGAGCACCCUUUCUGCAGAAAGUAAAGAUGGCCUUGCUGAGAGAUCUUUUGUCUCUGUGCUGACUCUUCUUCGCAGCACCGAUUAUCUAUUUCUAACAAUUUUGGUAUUUCUAACAGGCCCACACACACUGUGUGGGCCAAGCUGCUUCACUCAGUCCACUGAUCAAAUGCUCAUCUCAUCCUCACAGACACACCCAGGAUACUGCUUGACCAAAUAUCUGGACAACCCAUGGCCCAGUCAAGUCGACAGACCAAAUGAACUGUCACAGACAGCUUCUGUCCUUGGAACGGGGUGGGAUUCCACGGACUCUCUCCCUUCACAGUGGAGAUGCUCAGUCAGCAAGCUGCCAGAAGUUCAGAGCUGGGGAAGAUAUAAAGAGGACUGGGCAUGGAAGCUGCAGGAACUAGUCAGGAACUGGGAGUACCUAGGAGUCAGCUCCUGAGUGUGCAGGAUCAUGGUGAAAUAGAAAGUUAGAGAAGGAAGAGUGUGUCAAUAUCAGAGCAUUGUCUUAUAGCACAGGACUUAACCCUCUCCUAAGGUUCCAGGGAGACAGUGCCAAAUCAUCACUUGAGUGGUGCUUAGAAGCUUCAGGGCAAAAGAGCCAACCCUAAGUACAUUUGUCUACUGGGGCUGCCAUCACAAAGCACCGCAGACAGGGUGGCUUAUACAACAGACUCAUUGUCUCACAAUCCUGGCGGCUGGAGUCCAAGAUCAAGGUUUUGCAAGGCUAGCUCCUCCUGAGGCCUCUCUUGGCUUGUAGAUGACCGGGGCCUUCUCUCUGUGUCCUCACAGGGUCUUCCCUCAGUGCGUGUCCGUGUCCUCACCUCCUCUUGUAAGACUCCAGUCCUAUGAGAUUAGGACCCACUGUCAUGAACUCAUUUACUGUUGAUUACCUUUGUUUUAUGUUUUUUGUUUUUUUGAGACAGGGUCAGUCUCUGUCACCCAGGCUGGAGUGCAGUGGUGCAAUCAUGGCUCACUGCAGCCUCAAACUCCUGGGCUCAAGGAAUCCUCCCACCUCAAUCUCCCAAGUAGCUGGGACUACAGAUGCAUACCACUGUGCCUGGGUGUAUUAGUCUGUUAUUGCACAGCUAUAAAGAAAUACCUGAGAGUGGGUAACUUAUAAAGAAAGGAGGUUUAAUUGGCUCACGGUUCAUAGCUGCUUCUGGGGAGGCCUCAGGAAAGUUUCAGUCAUGGUGGAAGGUGAAGGGGAAGCAGACACGUCUUACACGGCCAGACAGUUCCUCCUACACUGGCUGACACUCUCUCCUGCCACCUUGUGAAGAAGGUGCCUGCUUCCUUUUCUGCCAUGACUGUAAGUUUCCUGAGGCCUCCCCAGCCAUGUGGGACUGUGAGUCAAUUAAACCUCCUUUGUUUAUAAAUUGCCCAGUCUCCGGUAGUAUCUUUAUAACAGUGUGAGGAUGAGCUAAUACACACAGGAAGCAGCAAUGCCAUCAAAGAGCCAGGGGCCUUGACUGGCAGAACUAGUGAGACCAUCACCAAAACAUGGCAUUCCUUGGGCAAGGCAGGUGCGCAGCCAGCAAGGUAUUGCUUAAUCUACAUGAUCAAAAGACAUCAGGAUGGUUGUUCAGGAGGCUGAGAACAGCCAUCCUAUUAUGGCUGAGUUGUGUCCCCUCAAAAUUUAUAUACUGAAGUCUUAACCCCCCAGGACCUCAGUGUGUAAGUAUUUGGAGAAAGGGCCUUUAAAGAUGUAGUUAAAUUAAAAUGAAGACAUUAGGGUGGGCCCUAAUCCAAUCUGACUGGUGUCCUUGUAAGAAGAGGAGAUGAGGACACAUGCAGAGGCAUGACCACAUGAGGACACAGGGAGAAGGUGGCCAUCUGCAAAUCAAGGAGUGAGGCCUCGGGAGGAACCAGCACUACCAACACCUUGAUCUCGGACUUCCAGUCUCCAGAACCAUGAGAUGAUGAAAGUCUGUGUUUAAGCUGCCCAGUCUGUGAUAUUGUUUUGCAACCCUAAUAGAUGAAUACAUACCCCAAUGAAAAAGCAUGAUCUCUUGCCCAGUUUCUGCACCUGAGACAGUUUUCAAACCCAAACCCCACUGAUUGAAGGAGGGAUUAGGUCCCAGGAGGACGGACCCUGCAGUACCAUAGCAGGCUCCCCCAGUCCUUCCCCACCCCACCACUAAAGGUGUAUUUCAGUAACUGUGCACUAGGAAAAGGGCAAUGCCCAGGGCUGGGGGACUCCGGGACCAAGUUGACACUGAGAGCUGGAGUCAAGGUACCAUCAUGGGCCCACUAGAGUAGGGCGUAUGGAGGCCAGCAAAGUGCAAUCCUGGUCCACCUCUAGCUCACACUGAGUCAUCCCUUUGCAUUCCCAGAAUGCUGCAUAUUCCCCCAGACCCUAAAAGUACACUCAGACAAUCUUGGUAGUUGGCAGAAUCCUCACGUAGGCUCAUUGUCCUGUAGGGUAAAAACUAUCAUAGUGUUACCAAGUAGAAACUUCUGAAACUGCCCACCACCUUAGCCAAGGCAAUACACCAAAAAGAAAAUCUCAUUGGUGGGGAAUGGCAGAGAUGUGGGCCCCUUUGGAAGACUUGAAGGUUGCAGGUGAGGCGAUUCCCAUCAUCUCCCCCAUUUUCCAGAGAAUGCUAACAGACUACUGUCAACUUGUGAUGGGAAAUUUUAUGCGUCCACUUCACUGGGCCAUGGUGCCCAGAUGUUUGGUUAAACAUUAUUCUGGGUGUGUCUGCAAGGUGUUUCUGGAUAUGCUUAGCAUUUGAAUCUGUGGACUGAGAAAAGCAGGUCACUCUCUCUGGUAAAGGUGGGCCUCAUCCAAUCAGUUGAAGGUCUGACUAAAACAAAAAGAUUAAGCAAGAGAAAAUUCGCUCUCCCUGCCUGUCUUAGUCUGUUUAUGUUGCUAUAAAGGAAUAUUGGAGCCUGGGUAAUUGAUAAAGAAAAGAGGUUUAUUUGGCUCAUGGUUCUGCAGGCUGUACAAGAAACAUGACAUCUGCAUCUGCUGCUGGUGAGGGCCUCAGGCUGCUUCCACUCCUGACAGAAGAUGAAGGGGAGCCAGUGUGUGCAGAGGUCACAUGAUUUAUUAUGUCACAGUACGGGAGGCUGGAAAAAGUGCAAGAUCAGGACACUGGCUGUUUUGGUGUCUGGUGAGGGUCCCAGUCUCUUCUUCAAGAUGAAGACUUGUUGCUGCCUCUCCUGAAGGGGACAAAUGCUGUGUCACCACACUGUGGAUGGUGGAAGAGCAAUACAAGCUGGGACACCCAUCUUCUCUUGCCUUUGGAUAUCAGAACUCCAGAUUCUUCAGCCUUCGCACUCUGAGACUUGUACCAGUGGCCUCCGGGUCUCAGGCCUUCAGCUGCAGACUGAGAGUUACCCAACUGGCUUUCCUGAUUGACGCUUAGACUGUACCACAUAAAUGGCUUCCCUGGUCCCCAGCUUGCAGAUGGCCUAUUGUGGGAAUUUUCAGCCUCUGUAAUCAUUGUAAUCAUAUGAGCCCAUUCCCAUAAUAAAUCCCUUCUCAUGUAUCUAUGUAUCUAUACCUGUAUCAAUCCUAUUUCUUUCUUUUUUUUUUUUUUGAGACAGAGUCUUGCUCUGUCACCCAGGCUGGAGUGCAGUGGCGUGUUCUCAGCUCAAUGCAACCUCCGCCUCCCAGGUUCAGGCGAUUCUCCUGCCUCAGCCUCCCGAGUAGCUGGGACUACAGGCACCCGCCACCACGCCCAGCUAAUUUUUGUAUUUUUAGUAGAGACGGGGUUUCAUCAUGUUGGCCAGGAUAGUCUCCAUCUCUUGGCCUCGUGAUUCACCCGCCUCGGCCUCCCAGAGUGCUGGGAUUACAGGCGUAAGCCAGCACACCUGGCCUCGAUGCUAUUUCUAUCCUAUCGGUUCUGUUUACCUGAAGAACCCUAACAUAGGUUUUGGUAUCAGGAUGAUUCUAGAGAAACAGAAUCAUAAGAAUGAGUUUUCUGAAUGUGUAUUGUGUUUUUCGGAAUUGGUUUUCUAAUAUGACUUGACUUAAAAGUGAGAAGAACUCUACUUCCAACAGUACACAGGACACUGAUGGUCCAUGGUGUGAAUAGUUUAUGAAAAUAUGCAAAUUUCUGCAUUGUAUACUCCUAGUAAACCACUUACAAGAGGCAAGGAGCUUAGUGACUCUGUAUAUGAUAUUUUCGAACAUUUGUGGAAAACCAGGGAAUAUAGUGACGUGGGCUGGUUACCAGUUGGUUGCUGGACAAAGUGAUGAAAUCACAGGAUGUGCUCAGUGAUUCAAAUUCCCAGUUCCAGCUCUGUAUAAAUAACCUGUGAGUGGCUGAGUGAACCCUGAAGGAGAACCUCCUUUCCUGUAGCCCUGGGGCCAAGACUGCUGAAAAGCAACCACAAGUCCUCGUCCUGAAACUGGAUGAAUUACAACGCAAGUUGAACUCUCAGCCUUGCGGGGUGUCCACUGUUCCAGUGAGGGCAUUGGCUGGGAAACAGAGGAUCCU